rnacentral:rRNA from 1 species
GAUGAACGCUAGCGACAGGCUUAACACAUGCAAGUCGAGGGGCAGCACGAUUGAAGCUUGCUUUAAUUGGUGGCGACCGGCGCACGGGUGAGUAACGCGUAUGCAACCUACCCAUCAGAGUGGGAUAACCCGGCGAAAGUCGGACUAAUACCGCAUAAAACAGGGAUCCCGCAUGGGAAUAUUUGUUAAAGGAUUAAUCGCUGCUGGAUGGGCAUGCGUGCCAUUAGAUAGUUGGUGAGGUAACGACUCAACAAGUCUGCGAUGGAUAGGGGUUCUGAGAGGAAGGUCCCCCACACUAGUACUGGGACACCGACCAGACUCCUACGGGAGGCAGCAGUGAGGAAUAUUGGUCAAUGGGCGAUAGCCUGAACCAGCCAAGUCGCGUGAAGGAAGACUGCCCUAUGGGUUGUAAACUUCUUUUAUUGGGGAAUAAUGGGUGGGACGUGUCCUGCAGGCUAAUGUACCCUAUGAAUAAGCAUCGGCUAACUCCGUGCCAGCAGCCGCAGUAA